AUUUGGACAAAAUAACUCGUCCCUAAUAUCACAGCUCGCUUCAGCUAAGAAGGUGAAAAAGGUGUUUUCUCAUUGCUUGGAUGGGAAAAAUGGCGGGGGUAUUUUUGCUAUUGGAGAAGUAGUACAGCCAAAAUAUGCUUCGACACCUCUGGUCCCAGAUAUGUAUGUCAUAUACACUAUAUUUUUAUUAAUCUAUUAUAAGUAUCAUAUCUUUUUAAUUUUCUUAUAAUUAUGUAGAGAUAAAACUAUAUUUCAUAUGGUGUAGGCUUUAUGGUUAAAUGUAAAUUCUGACUCCAACUUCGUCCUGAGUUGUAUAUAUAGGGUGACUUAUGUUUGUGACACUUAGGGUGAGGCCAGUGUCAUAAUAAGUGGUACAAAUGAAUUUCCUUGUGAGUGCUCUCUAAUACUUUUGCUUUUCUGUGUAGAAAGAAGGCAGCACUAGCUAGUAAUGCUCAAGUUAUGGAGUGAUCUGAACUAAUCCUAGUCCUUAAGAAUAUUAAGAAAAUUUAAUGACAUGGUUAAAAAAGGAAUUGAUAGGCAAAAUUGGUUUUGUUUUUUUGUGUGGGGGAUGUACUCCAGAAGCAGAGUAUGUUAGGCCUGCAAAAGUUGUAAAAUGGGAGUUUCUUUUCUCGCCUGUCUGAGAGUUCCUGUCUGAAUCUUUUAAUUUUCAUGAAAUUGAACUGAUGAGCUAAUCUGACAUUUGGUCAUCAACUGUUCAUCUUCUUUUUACUAUCUUUAUAGGUUUCCUAUUUCAAGAAUCUUCAUUUACCAUUUCCUGCUAGCUGUAUUUAUGUAUAUUUUAUUGAAUUUAAGUUAUGAUGGCAUUCCUCAGUAUGGCUUAGAACCUGGUUUUAAUUAUAGUUUUAUCACUAUCUUAGGCCACAUUAUAAUGUUAUUAUGAAGGCAGUUGAGGUGGGUGGUGAUGUUCUAGAACUUCCAACAGAUAUAUUUGAUGCUGGUGAUAACAGAGGCACUAUAAUUGAUAGUGGUACAACACUGGCCUAUCUUCCUGAUGAAGUUUUGAGGCCAAUGAUGAAAAAGGUUUCCAAUAUGUUUUAGUUUUUUUCUAGUUUUUCUCAAGAUAUUUGCAUGCCGUUAAUUUAUUCUGCAUAUCAAUUUUGCUGCCUUCUCAAAAUAGAUAAUGGCACGGCAACCUGAUGUGAAACUUCACACACUGGAGGAGCAGUUCACGUGCUUUCCGUACAAAGGAAAGUAAGACAUCUUACUGAAGGCUUUCUUUUACCUCAUAUGCGACCUAAGAGUUAAUGACAUAUGAAUCAGAUGUUGGAUUUUAUUUUUGUAUCAUAAUAAAAUAAUUUGUGUAUUCAUAACUUUUCAUAUGCUUUUAUUACAAGAAGCUUAGCAGGAGCAGUAUAGUUUAUGUUUCUUGGGAUGUGAGUAAAAAUUGAGGGCUGGGGAUGGGUGUUUGCUUGCUUAGUAAUCAUCUGAUGAAUAAUACCUUGUACUCUCCAAAAGUCCUUGUUCUUGCUUUUUGUUAAAUACGCGCGCGUGUGUGUGUUCUUAUAUAUAUACUACAUUGUCUGUUGAUACUGAAGGAAGGAGUGACACUUGACAUGCAAUAAAGUUUCUUUAGAGGGUAAUGUUAUUAAGUUGAGAAGUGGUGUUCCCUCAAUGAUCUUAACACUAGCAGUUUAGGUUACAUCAAAAGCAGAAAAAUAGUUUUGCUGUUAAUUGCAGUUAGCCACUGAUUUUCUUGCUAUGCUUUGUGAUAUACAAAAUGAAGAUGAAGAAAGAGAAAACAUGAGCUAAGGGUUGUUUGGGUGAUAAAUGUAUUAAGUAGAGCACCAUAUUUCUAAUAAUAUAUGUUGAGUACAUUGUAGUCUUGUUUAUUUUUCACUGUUAAUUGUUUUCUUCUCGCCUUCGAUAACAUUGCCUGUAUUUUCUUCUCCAUUAAUGAUUUUUUGCAGCGUUGAUGAUGGUUUUCCAGUUGUCACCUUUCAUUUUGAAGAUUCACUUUCUUUGUCAGUUUAUCCCCAUGAUUACCUUUUUGCUGUUGAUGUAAGUAUUUUGUCAUGAGCAUACGACAUUUGUGUACAGUGUCUUGAUACAAAAAGAUCAUUAUGUUUUUCAAUCAUUUAAUCUUUGUAUAUUUAAGCAUGUGAUAUCUGGAGUUGUUCCACGAAUUUAUAUAAAUCAGAUAUAGUAAUAACAUUGGUAUCAUGCCCCCAAGCGGGGUAAUGGGGAGAAGUGGAAUAAAGAAAAUGAUUACUUUAGUUGUGUUAGUAAUUGUGACAAGUGGAGUAAUGAAAUAGUUUAGAUGUAUGAAGACACUUUCCUAAUAAUGAUUAUGCAGAGUGACAAUCUUCUUUUGUUGUGUUCAGACAUAUUAUUGGUUGGUUAUUCGAUUGAUUUUCUAUUUCUUCUCACAUCUUAAAGAACAAAGGCUCCUAUUAUAAGAUGUUUUUUUCGAGUUACAUCAAGGUUGCUGUUCCAAGUAUGUGGUUUUGAGAACAAGCUCCUCACUUGUUUUCAAUGUCUGUGGUUCUUUGAGAUUUCUUGUCUGGUUAUUAAUAGAUAAACCAGAUCAUGAACACUUUGAGCUAGUGCCAUAAACCUUUGUUGCGAAAAUAAUUGUUCUAAGGUGAUCCUUGAUUCUGAAAUGAUCGAGGCAAUACUAGUUUAUGCCGAUCCAUGAGUGCCAUAAACCUUUGUUGUGGAAAAAUUUCUUCUAAAGUGAUUCUUGAUUCUGAAAUGGUCUAUCAGUUUAAGCUGAUACCAUGAGAUAGCCUAAAAUAUCUUCAUGCUUAAGUGAAUCAAGUAUAGAAGAGUUAGCUCUUUCAUAUUCAUAUAUUACUUUACUGUACUGGGUCCAAAGCAAAUAUCCUAUCAAUUUUAAAGCAGACUUAUGAAAGAGAAUGAAGCACAUAAUAUUUAGAGCUUGAUUGAGCACAUGAUGAACAUGGCUACAAAUAUUAUAUAUAUAGUCUUACUCUAGGACAAACUACUAAAUGGAAACUAAAUACAGCCCCAUGCUUUCAGGAGAAUUGGGAGGUUUUGGGCCUGAAGAACGGACCCCAAGUUGGGCCUUGGCAAGGCCUAGGUGGGGUCUAGUGGGCGGGGGUGGGGUCAAGUGUUGGCUCUUGAGUUUGUCUAGAGCCCCUCCUGUCAGAGGUGGGUCCUCGGGUGGGUGAUGUCAUCUAGGGGUGGGUGAUGUCAUAGUUUCUCUUGGUUUGUAUUUGAUCACUAGCCAAAGGGUUCUUCGACUGGAACACCCGUCACCUGCGAUCAGGAAUUUUGCACUGAUGUAUUAAAGGCCUCAUAUUCUGAUUGCUCGGUUGGAAGGCUUUGUGAGUAUUCUAUCACUUACGGAGAUGGAAGCUCUACCGCAGGCUUCUUUGUCAAAGAUAGUGUACAUUUUAAUCGUGCAUCCGGAGAUUUUCAAUCUACAGUCCUGAAUGGGAGUGUGACUUUUGGGUGAGUUUUCACUCUUGCUCUCUAGUUUUGACAGGUUAAUUUAUACUAUUUAUGUUAUACUAUAAUAAGCCAACAUGGGUAUAAUUUGUACUACUAAAAUUUGGUUUGGUUUGGUCAUUCCCAAAUGACCCUUUUCUCUAUUUAAAUAAAUAAAUAAUGAUAAGUAAUUAUAUAAACAGUAUCUUACUUAGUUAUAACGUAUUCUACUUAUUAAAACAAAUCAUCACGUAACUCUUCUUAAUUCUAAUGUAUUUUACUUCAAUACAAACACAAAUCAUGUAACUAUUUUUAACUCUAAUGUUAUGUAUUUCAAGACAAACAUGAUUUCUAUACAAGGAACUAAUAUAAUUUUCCUCACAAAAGAAGAAAUAUGAAAUAUGAUAUAUAUGAUUUAAAAUUAAUCAAAAAACACGUUAUCGCAUAUUUAUAUUAGAAAAACAUUUGUAGGUAGAUAAUAAAAAUAUAUAUUGUUUAUAAUACCGAUUUACAAUAUAAAAAAAUAUUGUAAAAACUAAAUUUGUAAGAGUAAAUACAAUCAAACGGCUGGUAUGAUCUAAUCAAAUUUCAAUUCAUUAUCAUUGCCCAUUAAAAAAAUUAUGACAUCCAACAGUAUCAAACAAAUAAUAAAAUAAUCUUGAAAAUUAAAUUUUAAAUAAUAAAUUUUGAACUAUAUAGUUGCCCGUGCUUCGCAUGGGUUAAGGGAUAGUACUAAUAAUAACAUAAAUACAGUUCACAUGUCCGACAUCAGUUUGCUUGUCAUUAUAUGGGUUUUAUUCAUUUCAUGUCAGUGUUUGUGGUGUGUAUGCAUAUAUCAGUUAUUUAGGUGCAAUGGUGCCGAGUUUGAAUGAUGUAUCAAUUUAUCUCCAUGGUGUAAUUCAUUCAGUAAUGCUUAUGACAUGUUAAUAAUUAUUUGACCCGUGUAGGUGUGGAGCUAAACAGUCUGGGGAGCUAGGUUCGUCUGAUGAGUCAGUUGAUGGAAUAAUUGGAUUUGGACAAAAUAACUCGUCCCUAAUAUCACAGCUCGCUUCAGCUAAGAAGGUGAAAAAGGUGUUUUCUCAUUGCUUGGAUGGGAAAAAUGGCGGGGGUAUUUUUGCUAUUGGAGAAGUAGUACAGCCAAAAUAUGCUUCGACACCUCUGGUCCCAGAUAUGUAUGUCAUAUACACUAUAUUUUUAUUAAUCUAUUAUAAGUAUCAUAUCUUUUUAAUUUUCUUAUAAUUAUGUAGAGAUAAAACUAUAUUUCAUAUGGUGUAGGCUUU
rnacentral:lncRNA from 1 species